CAGCAGCCGCGGUAAUACGGAGGGAGCUAGCGCUAUUCGGAAUUACUGGGCGUAAAGCGCACGUAGGCGGCUUUGUGAGUUAGAGGUGAAAGCCUGGAGCUCAACUCCAGAAUUGCCUUUAAGACUGCAUCGCUUGAAUCCAGGAGAGGUGAGUGGAAUUCCGAGUGUAGAGGUGAAAUUCGUAGAUAUUCGGAAGAACACCAGUGGCGAAGGCGGCUCACUGGACUGGUAUUGACGCUGAGGUGCGAAAGCGUGGGGAGCAAACAGGAUUAGAUACCCGCGUAGUCUCUGUCUCUUAUAC
rnacentral:rRNA from 1 species